rnacentral:rRNA from 1 species
UUUUUUAAGAGUUUGAUCCUAGCCCAGAACGAACGCUGGCGGCAGGCCUAACACAUGCAAGUCGAACGGAAUAAUUAAGCUUGCUUAUUUAUUUAGUGGCAGACGGGUGAGUAAUACAUGGGAAUCUACCUUUUAGCACGGAAUAGUUAGUAGAAAUAUUAAGUAAUACUGUAUAAUCCCCGAGGGGCAAAGAUUUAUCACUAUUAGAUGAGCCCAUGGCGGAUUAGCUUGUUGGUGAGGUAACUGCUCACCAAGGCUAUGAUCCGUAGCUGGUUUGAGAGAAUGUACAGCCACACUGGUAUUGAGAUACGGACCAGACUUCUAUGGAAGGCAGCAGUGGGGAAUAUUGGACAAUGGGCGAAAGCCUGAUCCAGCCAUGCCGCGUGAGUGAUGAAGGCCGCGAGGUUGUAAAGCUCUUUUAGCGAUGAAGAUUAUGACGGUAAUCGCAGAAUAAGUCCCGGCUAACUACGUGCCAGCAGCCGCGGUAAUACGUAGGGGGCUAGCGUUGUUCGGAAUUACUGGGCGUAAAGGGUGUGUAGACGGUGAUAUAAGUCCGGUGUUAAAACUAUGAGCUUAACUCAUAAGAUGCGCUGCGAAACUGUAUUACUUGAGUACGGAAGAGGAUAGUGGAAUUCCUAGUGUAGAGGUAAAAUUCGUAGAUAUUAGGAGGAACAUCAGAGGCGAAGGCGACUAUCUGGUACGUUACUGACGUUGAGACACGAAAGCGUAGGUAGCAAACAGGAUUAGAUACCCUGGUAGUCUACGCUGUAAACGCUGAAUGCUAUGCAUAGGGAUUUUGAUCCCUGUGUUGAAGCUAACGCAUUAAGCAUUCCGCCUGAGGAAUACGGUCGCAAGAUUAAAACUCAAAGGAAUUGACGGGGACCUGCACAAGCGGUGGAGCAUGUGGUUUAAUUCGAUGCAACGCGAAAAACCUUACCAAACCUUGACAUAUUUAUCGUAUCUCUCCGAAGGGAGGAGUCAGUUCGGCUGGAUAUUUACAGGUGUUGCAUGGCUGUCGUCAGCUCGUGCCGUGAGGUGUUAGGUUAAGUCCUCUAACGAGCGCAACCCCCAUCCUUAAUUGCCAUCAGGUAAUGCUGGGAACCUUAAGGAAACUGCCAGUGACAAAUUGGAGGAAGGUGGGGACGACGUCAAGUCAUCACGGCCCUUAUGGUUUGGGCUACACACGUGCUACAAUGGUAACUACAAUGGGAAGCAAUAUCGUGAGGUGGAGCAAAUCCCCAAAGGUUACCCCAGUACGGAUUGUUCUCUGCAACUCGGGAACAUGAAGUUGGAAUCGCUAGUAAUCACGUAUCAGAAUGUCGUGGUGAAUACGUUCUCAGGUUUUGUACACACUGCCCGUCACGCCAUGGGAGUUGGUCUUACUCUAAGAUGGUAAGCUAACCGAUUUAUCGGAGGCAGCUAUCCAAAGUCGGGUCGAUGACUGGGGUGAAGUCGUAACAAGGUAACUGUAGGUGAACCUGUGGUUGGAGUACCUCCUUU